ACGGAAGGCAGCAGUGGGGAAUAUUGGGCAAUGGGGGAAACCCUGGCCCAGCAACGCCGCGUGAAGGAAGAAGGCCUUCGGGUUGUAAACUUCUUUUACCGGGGACGAAUUUUGACGGUACCUGGAGAAAAAGCAACGGCUAACUACGUGCCAGCAGCCGCGGUAAUACGUAGGUUGCAAGCGUUGUCCGGAUUUACUGGGUGUAAAGGGCGUGUAGGCGGAGCUGCAAGUCAGAUGUGAAAUCCCGGGGCUCAACCCCGGAACUGCAUUUGAAACUGUAGCCCUUGAGUAUCGGAGAGGCAAGCGGAAUUCCUAGUGUAGCGGUGAAAUGCGUAGAUAUUAGGAGGAACACCAGUGGCGAAGGCGGCUUGCUGGACGACAACCGACGCUGAGGCGCGAAAGCGUGGGGAGCAAACAGGAUUAGAUACCCUGGUA
rnacentral:rRNA from 1 species